AACGAACGCUGGCGGCAUGCCUAACACAUGCAAGUCGAACGAGACCUUCGGGUCUAGUGGCGCAUGGGUGCGUAACGCGUGGGAACCUGCCCUUAGGUUCGGAAUAACUCCCCGAAAGGGGUGCUAAUACCGGAUAAUGUCUUCGGACCAAAGAUUUAUCGCCUUUGGAUGGGCCCGCGUUGGAUUAGCUAGUUGGUAGGGUAAAAGCCUACCAAGGCGACGAUCCAUAGCUGGUCUGAGAGGAUGAUCAGCCACACUGGGACUGAGGCACGGCCCAGACUCCUACGGGAAGCAGCAGUGGGGAAUAUUGGACAAUGGGCGAAAGCCUGAUCCAGCAAUGCCGCGUGAGUGAUGAAGGCCUUAGGGUUGUAAAGCUCUUUUACCCGGGAUGAUAAUGACAGUACCGGGAGAAUAAGCUCCGGCUAACUCCGUG
rnacentral:rRNA from 1 species